rnacentral:rRNA from 1 species
ACCCGCUGAACUUAAGCAUAUCAGUAAGCGGAGGAAAAGAAAACAACAGUGAUUCCCUUAGUAACUGCGAGUGAAGCGGGAAGAGCCCAACGUCGAAUCGCUUAUGCCCCUAACAGGGUAGCGAUGAAUUCGCGAGCGAGCUGUGACGUAAGGAGGUGCUUCACCGGGCUGGGCCGUGUCAUCAAAGUUUACUUGGAAAGGUGCGCCGCAGAGGGUGAUAGCCCCGUGUGUGAUGACAUGAGUGCUGUGAAAGGCCCAGCUCGCUUAUGUGUACGUAAGUGUGGAAGUGCUUUCCAUGAGUCGGGUUGUUUGGGAUUGCAGCCCUAAGAGGGUGGUAAACUUCACCCAAGGCUAAAUACUGGAACGAGACCGAUAGCGAACAAGUACCGUGAGGGAAAAUUGACAAGUACCGCGGCAGCGGGGUCAAAAGUACGUGAAACCGUUAAAGGGGAAGCGGAUGAAUGGGUCGAUAAACCCCGCAAGGUUCAGCGUCAUGUGAGUUGAGGGGAAGCAGUGUUAGGGGCCCUAUUCAACGUAUCAAACAUGUGACGUGUCCCUGCCUGUGCGCUGGGUGAGCCGAAACAGUCGUUGCAAGUACGGCCGAGGCAGGCUGGACGUCUAGGGGCUGCUGUCCGUUGCUUCAUCCGGUCUCCAUGCCGGGUGUUGGUGAUGGUUCCCAGCGGCAGCUGGAUGCUUACCUGUAUGUGUGCGUGUGUGAGAACCAUGAUAAUUACAAUCUCGGCGAUCUGAUUGAAAGAAGCGUUUGCGAUGACUGAGAGUAAGCGUCGUUGAGACGUUGCCAUACGCUCCCGUCGGUGCUUGUGUGCCGGCGUAUGGGGCAAUCUGGUGGUCAGUUGAGACAUGAUAGUAGGUGUGUCCCGUGUGUGAGGCUGGCGAUAUCUAUGCUGCUCGGGGUGCCAGCCUCUCUCUCCCUCACCGGAGGUGGAGGUUGGCACUGCAGCAUUUGAUAAGACCUCGAAAGGCUCGUCUACCGUGGGAACGCAGGCAACUGCAGUCCACACAUUAGCCAGCGUUCACAUGUGUGUCAAUUGUGUGUAAUUGUAACAGAGAGCACGCCACACGCGCAUACCAGGGCAGAUCAUUGUACAGACGGUAUCACUAGGUGCCGGAUGAUCUGCCGGGACCUGGACACAACAUGCUCUGAUCACUCCUCCUUCUCCGUCAGGGGAAUGUGUGGAAAAUGUGUGGCAUAUUUUCGGCGAGAUACCAAUUCAUCCGACCCGUCUUGAAACACGGACCAAGGAGCCUAACAUAUGCGCGAGUCAAAGGGUGUUUAAACCCAGAUUGCAGGCUAUUGCAAGGCCCCCGGUGCCAGCUAGAUACGUCUGGUGUCGGGGAGUGACAUACAAAAGCCACAUGAGGCGCAAUGAAAGUGAGUCGGAUAAAAAAUAUACUCCGAAACGGAUGGGAUCUGCUUGUUUCGCCGAAAAACCCUUACCGUUGUGGCUGCCUCUCUGCUUCCCUCGGGGAGUGGAGGGGUGGUUGCUGUAUGCGGUAUAGCACAAGCAGCGCACCAUCGGCCGGACCACACGUAGGUGUGGACUGAGCAAGAGCGCAUAUGCUAGAACCCGAAAGAUGGUGAACUAUUCCUGGGUAGGGCGAAGCCGGAGGAAACUCCGGUGGAGGCUCGCAGCGAUCCUGACGUGCAAAUCGGUCGUCAAACCUGGGUAUAGGGGCGAAAGACUAAUCGAACCAUCUAGUAGCUGGUUCCUUCCGAAAUAUCCCUCAGGAUCGCUGAGACUUGAAUGACGCACACGCGUCUCACGGUAGUUUCAUCGGGUAGAGCUAAUGAUUAGAGUUAUUUGGGAGCAACUGCUCCUGAAACUACUCUCAAACUGCCAACCGGUGAGAUGUGUCGAUUUCUUUGAUCUCCUGCGGGCUGCAUAUUUCCGACUCGCUGCUGGCAACAGUGGUGGGUUGGUGGGUGUGUUGGCCCGUGGGGUGCUCUACUCUCCUGGCAGUGCCGGGCUGUGUGAUGCGAGGUGUACGAAAGUGACCUCUCACGGUAGACCCAUUGUGCAGUCUGACAUUGCUGUUGGUGGUGCAUCGAGUAGGGAUGAUUGAAUGGACGCAAAAAAUUGAUGGGAGUGGUGCCCUUCGGGGCGCUGCCCCCAAAAAAAGUGAAUACCAGAGUCUCAAGUGGGCCGUUUCUGGUAAGCAGAACUGGCGAUGCGGGAUGAA